rnacentral:rRNA from 1 species
GACGAACGCUGGCGGCGUGCCUAAUACAUGCAAGUUGAGCGAUGAAGCUUGGUGCUUGCACCAAUUUGAAGAGCAGCGAACGGGUGAGUAACGCGUGGGGAAUCUGCCUUUGAGCGGGGGACAACAUUUGGAAACGAAUGCUAAUACCGCAUAACAACUUUAAACAUAAGUUUUAAGGUUGAAAGAUGCAAUUGCAUCACUCAAAGAUGAUCCCGCGUUGUAUUAGCUAGUUGGUGAGGUAAAGGCUCACCAAGGCGAUGAUACAUAGCCGACCUGAGAGGGUGGUCGGCCAACAUGGGAAUUGGACACGGCCCAAGAUUCUUCGGGAGGGAGCCGGAGGGGAUCAUUGGCAAUGGGCGAAAGGCUGACCCCAGAAAGCCGCGGGAGGUGAGGAGGGCUUCGGAUCGUAAAAGUCUGUUGGUAGGGAAGGAAGAUCAGCAGGGUGAAAAGCUGAUCAAGUGACGGUAACUACAGAGAAAGCGACGGCUAACUACGUG